ACGAUGAAGCUCUUCGGGGUGGAUUAGUGGCGAACGGGUGAGUAACACGUGAGUAACCUGCCCCUGACUUUGGGAUAACUACCGGAAACGGUGGCUAAUACUGGAUAUGACUGAUGAUCGCAUGGUUGUUGGUGGAAAGUUUUUUCGGUUGGGGAUGGACUCGCGGCCUAUCAGCUUGUUGGUGGGGUAAUGGCCUACCAAGGCGAUGACGGGUAGCCGGCCUGAGAGGGCGACCGGCCACACUGGGACUGAGACACGGCCCAGACUCCUACGGGAGGCAGCAGUGGGGAAUAUUGCACAAUGGGCGAAAGCCUGAUGCAGCGACGCCGCGUGAGGGAUGACGGCCUUCGGGUUGUAAACCUCUUUCAGUAGGGAAGAAGCGAGAGUGACGGUACCUGCAGAAGAAGCGCCGGCUAACUACGUGCCAGCAGCCGCGGUAAUACGUAGGGCGCAAGCGUUGUCCGGAAUUAUUGGGCGUAAAGAGCUUGUAGGCGGUUUGUCACGUCUGGUGUGAAAUCCCAUCGCUCAACGGUGGGCUUGCAUCGGGUACGGGCAGGCUAGAGUGUGGUAGGGGAAACUGGAAUUCCUGGUGUAGCGGUGAAAUGCGCAGAUAUCAGGAGGAACACCGAUGGCGAAGGCAGGUUUCUGGGCCAUUACUGACGCUGAGAAGCGAAAGCAUGGGGAGCGAACAGGAUUAGAUACCCUGGUAGUCCAUGCCGUAAACGUUGGGCACUAGGUGUGGGGAACAU
rnacentral:rRNA from 1 species